rnacentral:snoRNA from 1 species
GUCAAAAUGAGUUAACUGAGGGCAUUAUUCUCUUCAGUCAAAUAUGGAGGCCAAGAUAAGCCCCAGAAGACCAUUGUCAGGACAGCCACGAGCCAGGCAGCCUUGUUUUUGUACCUCAUUUGGAA